GCUGGAACAUAUGAGGUUCUGGACACUGAAGGAGGAAUCCUGAUCAUGCUGACAAUCAAAGAAUCAAAGAAGAAAAUAAACGACACAAACGGUGAAUCGCGACGAGAUACUUCCCCUCCACCUGAUAUAUAGUGGAUUGUCCUAGUUACCCUUUUGGUGAUACUUCUUGCUUCAAAAUUAAAACUGCACAGAAGCACUAUUUAAAUAACAGUAAAUAAGGGCAGGAAGCUUAUACUGCAUUUUU